AGGAUAUGUGAAUUAGGUAGUGACAAGAGGAGGCUAGGAGGUGGUGGUGACCGAAGGUGUUGACCAGGAGGAGAUGUGAAUGGCUAGGAGAAUAAUGUGUGGAGGAGGGGAAGAGCAACGUAGCUCUUGGCCUUGUGUGAUCAAAAAGUAUCCAUUGGCCAAGAAGAGUAAAGUUACCAAGGAGAAUGCGACACAAUACUGACUUCCCUGGGACUCAUCGCUUUGCCUUAAGGUGUGUGCCUAAGAAUUUGCGGGGUGUUGGGCUGAGCUCAAAAGGCAUGGUGGUCAGCCUGUUUUAGGCUUGGCCUGAAUGGUCUGAAUGGAGUUGUCCGUUCGGGUCUAGUUUGAAUGUCAAGCCGUUCAAGCCUCGUCUGAAAGGUCAGGAGGGCAUGCUGUUCGGUCUAGGCCUGCACGGCUUGAAGGGCACGUUGUUCAGGCCUAGCAUGAAUAGUCUGGAUUUUUUUUUAUGUUGCACAAACAAUAAUUUAAUUUAAAUUCUUGAAUUUAUGGAUGAAGGUAUAGGUUUUUUUUUGUUUUUUUGUUAAGUUAGAUUUUAUUUUUAAAACUUCAUCUAAUCAAAUUAAAAGUGGGUCAGAUAGGGAACAUGCCGGGUGAAAAAAGUUCUUCAUCAGAUCCGAUCUGACCAGGUUAGAGGCAAAAGUGAAGGAUGAAUUUAGAUAUUCCAAGUCAAAAGUAGAGCGAAAUCCUGUUCCUAUUCGAUCCAUUGAAAAUUUGAAACCCUUAAUGUUAUAUACUAUAUAUUAAACUUUUCAUACUAAUUGGAAAUCUGGAAUUACUUCCAGAACGGGCACGAAGUGAAAUAAAAUAAGGUUUUUUCUUGCCUUUGGUUUUACAAGAUCGGAGAUAUUGCACCCAGGUAAGUAAAUAAAAAAAUAAACGAAUUUCUCUCUCCGAUGUCCCAUUUCCUCGAAUUUAACAGCAGCAGCAUGCCACUGCCACCAGCUUUGGCGGUCGAACAAGCAUGUAUCCGACGACAAGUGGACCGAUAAGCAGAUCUCCGAUGACGCGAAACCUGUUUAUAUUCCUCUCCUAUUGGUUCCUCGGUUAGCAUCUCUUAGGUGAUCGUUGCUAUGAUUGCCUUGUUGGUAUGCUGAAUUGGCUUGGGUUUUGAAGCUUGUUACUGGGUUUUGAAGCUUGUUACUGGGUUUGGAUUUUGAUGCUGCUACUUGUUUGAGAGAAUGUGUCUGUUACACGCCAUCUCUAAGAUAGUUCAAAUUCUUGCAAUUGCACAUAAGUUGUUUGUUUUUUUUUCCACAAUGAUUUCUCUGAAACUUCAUAGCUUUGUUUUUUCUGUUUAGUUGGGAUCUCCUUCCAUAUAACAAAAUUAUGUAUUGAUGCACUAAUAGAGAUGGUGGGCUUCUAGGCUGUGCUGGCGAUGAAGAUGAUCAUGAGAGGAGUUGCUUGUCUUAUAAUUUGUAGAUUAAUGGAUUAGAAUUAAAAUUUGGUUUCGUUAGAGUCACUAAACAAUAAGUGGCCUUGUGCUGGAAGAUUUUUUUAUGGUGGGGUGUGACAAAAUCCAACUUCUACCUCACUCCAGACUUGAUGAGUCAACCUUCCAAGUCAACUUGGUUUCUUUUUUUUAAAGGUCCUGACUUCCCAGAAACCAGAAUUAAAAGAACCCAACAAAGCUUUCAAGCUUCAUUUUUUAUUUUGAUCAUAGUGAUAAUAAUGCACAAAAAUUAUGUUCCGCUUAUUGUGCUUGUAUUGUUGCACAUAAACCCUCUUCCUGAAUUCAUUACAGGGGUAAGAGGUGCCAAGUUUAGGUGCAUAGAGAGGGAGAGACGAGCACUUCUUCAGUUCAAAGAAGACCUUAUUGAUGAUUAUGGUGUUCUUUCUUCUUGGGGGGGUGAAGAAGAGAAGAGAGAUUGCUGCAAAUGGAGAGGAGUUGGCUGUGACAACAUAACUGGUCAUGUUACUUUGCUUGAUCUCCAUUCCUCACCUGUGUACGACCAUCAUUUUAAGCCUCUAAUAGGUAAGGUUAGUGAUUCAUUACUAGAGUUACAGUAUUUGAAUUACUUGGACCUGAGUUUGAAUAAUUUUGAUGAGAGUAUGAUGGAUUUUAUUGGCUCCUUAACCAGCCUGAGAUACUUGAACCUCUCCUACAACUUUUUCACUGUAACUAUUCCCUGUCAGCUUGGGAACCUCUCAAGAUUGCAGUCUCUUGAUCUCAGCUAUAGUUUUGAUGCCAGUGUAGAAAAUCUUGACUGGCUUUCUCAUCUUUCUUCUCUGGAGCGUCUUGAUUUAAGUGGUUCCAACCUCAGUAAGGUAAAUGACUGGCUGCAAGUGAUUACAAACCUCCCGCGCCUAAAAGAACUGCGAUUGAAUCAGUGUAGUCUUCCAGAUAUAAUUCCUUCACCUCUUUCUUUUGCCAACUCUUCUAAAUUUCUUGCUGUCCUUCAUCUCUCUAAUAACAAUCUUUCUUCUGCGAUAUACCCCUGGCUGUACAACUUUAGUAAAAGCCUGGUUGACCUUGACCUUUCUGGUAACCAGUUAAAAGGUUCGAUUCCAGAUGCAUUCAGAAACAUGAGUGCCCUCACAAAUCUUGUUCUUUCCGGUAAUCAGCUUGAAGGUGGCAUUCCAAGAUCUCUUGGGGAGAUGUGCAGCUUGCAUGUGCUAGAUUUGUGCCACAACCAUAUCAGCGAGGACCUUUCGGAUCUCGUGCAGAACUUAUACGGACGCACAGAGAGCUCACUGGAGAUUUUGAGAUUAUGUCAGAAUCAACUUCAUGGUUCAUUGCCUGAUAUUGCUAGAUUUUCUUCCUUGAGAGAAUUGGAUAUCUCAUAUAAUCUACUCAAUGGGCGUAUACCUGAAAGUAUUGGAUUCCUUUCCAAGCUUGAGCAUUUUGAUGUUUCUUUUAAUUCUUUUCAAGGUGUGGUGUCUGGAGAACAUUUUUCUAACCUCUCCAAGUUACAGAACUUGGAUUUGUCUUAUAAUUCCUUAGUUUUGAGAUUCAAAUCUGAUUGGGACCCCACUUUUCAAUUGAACACCAUUCGUCUUAGUUCAUGCAACUUGGGGCCUUUUUUCCCACGAUGGCUUCGAACUCAGAGAAAUGCCCAUUUGCUUGAUAUCUCCAGUGCUAAUAUUUCAGAUAAAAUCCCUAAUUGGUUUUGGAACCUGUUGCCUACCUUGGCUUUCUUAAAUCUAUCUCACAACUUGAUGAGGGGAACGCUGCCAGAUUUAUUGUCAGUUGAUGUGGUCGAUGGUACAUUCCCUGGGUUUGAUUUGAGUUUUAAUCUGUUUGAGGGUCUACUGCCAGCUUUUCCUUCUACGACAUCCUCAUUGAUUCUUUCUAACAAUUUAUUUUCAGGGCCAAUUUCUCAUAUAUGCAAUAUUACUGGUGAGAUAUUGAGCUUCCUUGAUCUGUCAAACAAUCUGUUGUCUGGACAACUUCCAAAUUGUUUCACGGAUUGGAAGGGACUGGUUGUUCUGAAUCUGGCUAACAACAACUUGUCAGGCAAAAUUCCAAGCUCUGUCGGAUCAUUGUUUCUCCUUCAAACAUUGAGUUUACACAACAAUAAACUCCACGGAGAAUUGCCGGUGUCUUUAAAAAACUGUAGCAUGUUGAAAUUUUUGGACCUUGGUGAAAAUCGAUUAUCAGGAGAAAUACCAGCUUGGAUAGGAGAAAGCCUCUCAUCCUUGAUGUUCCUUUCCCUUCAAUCUAAUGAAUUCCUUGGAAGCAUCCCGCCACAUAUUUGUCAGCUAAGAAAUAUUAGGAUCUUGGACCUCUCCCUAAACAAUAUCACUGGAGCCAUACCAGAGUGUCUCAACAAUCUAACUGCUAUGGUUCUAAGAGGGGAAGCAGAAACUGUCAUUGACAAUCUUUACUUGACAAAGAGACGUGGAGCAGUUUUUUCUGGAGGCUACUAUAUCAACAAGGCAUGGGUUGGAUGGAAAGGAAGAGAUUAUGAAUUUGAGAGAACUCUUGGACUGUUGCGAGUCAUUGAUUUUUCAGGCAACAAUCUAUCUGGAGAAAUUCCAGAGGAAAUAACUGGCCUGCUUGGGUUGGUUGCACUGAACUUGUCAGGAAAUAAUUUAACUGGAGUAAUCCCUCAAAAGAUUGGUCAGUUGACAUUUUUAGAAUCUCUCGAUUUGUCAAGAAAUCAUUUCUACGGUGCAAUUCCAUUCACAAUGGCUGUUCUAAAUUUUUUAAGUUGCUUGAAUGUCUCCUACAAUAAUUUGUCUGGGAAAAUUCCAUUGAGCACUCAGCUUCAAAGCUUUGAUGCAUCAGCUUUUACAGGCAAUCCUGCACUGUGUGGUCCACCAUUCACCAAGAAAUGCCUUGGAGAUGUUGAUGUGCCUCAAAGGCCAGUGAUGAAUGAUGUAAUCCAAGACAAUAAAAAAACUGUGCAUGAGUUCAGUAUGUGGUUUUAUAUUGGCAUGGAAAAUGGUUUUUUUGUAUUUUUUAUUGGAUUUUCGGGUGCAUUACUGCUCAAGCAUUCUUGGAGACAUGGCUAUUUCCAGUUUUUGGAUGAAUCAUUGGAAUUCCUCUGCUUGAUACUGAGAGCGCAUAAGGCAAAACAAAAAAGGCCGCACCCAAACUCUUGCAGUUAGGUUUGAGAGACAGUCUUUACACAUUAUGCUUGCAAGGAUUCUCUGCUGCCCCAGAAUCAUGGUUCUUUUGCUUGUGGAGAAGUCUUCAUCAUUGUUUGUGUAGCUUGUUGCUGUAUUCAUAUUUUGCUUUCUGCAUUUACAAGGCUGUCUUGCAACAAGUUGUCAAGUGAAAUUUCAAAUUCCAAGGGAUCAUUGUUGCAGCUUGAGCAUUGAAUUUAUGCAACAACAGCCUCCAUGGAGUUUCAUGGAAUCUCAGUAUGUUGAAAUAUUGGAACCAAGUUGAAAUAAAUUAUCUGGGCCCUGGAGAAAUCCCAGCUUGGAUCGAGGAAAGCCCGUCAGUCACGAUAUUUCUUUCCCUACAAUUAAAUUCCUUCUAUGGAAGCAUACCCCACAGCACCCGCAACAUCAAUUCAGGUAUUGGACCUCUCAUUGAAUUCUUCUCAGAAAUCACACCAAACUGCCUCGAGAACUUUAGUUUCAGGCUUCAGAAAGGGUAAUCAAAUGAUCAGAGUUGUAGUACGUACAUCACUUCAAUAAUCUCCGUUGCCAAGCAAUCUAGGAAGCCUUGAUUUGAUGGACAGGAAGAGGGUUCGAGCGUGACCAGAUCCCCAGUCGGCGGCUGAUUGUUGAUCUGGCUGGAAACAAUUAAAUGGGAGAAAUUCCUGAAUGCAUAAUGAGUCAUUGAGACCUGGUUGUGCUGAGCCUAUUGAUGAACAAUUUGACCGGACUAAUCACUCCAGUGAAACAGUUGCGAUCACUUGAUUUCUCAGGAAAUCAAUCAUCCGGCAUAAUUGCAGCCACCAUGCCUGAUCUAACAUUUGUGGGUUACUCGGCCUUCUCCUAAAAUAACUUGUCAGAGAGAAUUCCACUAAGCACCCAGCUUCACAGAUUUGAUGCAUCUGCUCUUGCUGGUAAUUCUGUACUAUGAGAGCUCCUGGUCACGCAGAAAUGUACUGGAGAUAAUACACUUCUGAGUCUACCAACUGAUGCAUGCCCACAAUCCGAAGAAAAUAAAUAUUUGCUUGUUGUCUAACAAUAUAUUACUUGAAUAAAUUUAUUUAUUUUUAACCGA